GUUAAGAUGGCAGAGCCCGGUAAUUGCAAAAGACCUAAGCCCUUUCAAUCAGAGGUUCAACUCCUCUUCUUAACU
rnacentral:tRNA from 1 species